GCCGGGCGCGGUGGCAUGUGCCUGUAAUCCCAGCUACUCAGGAAGCUGAGGUGGGAGGAUCGCUUGAGCCCAGGAGUUCUGGGCUGUAGUGCGCUAUGCCGAUUGGGUGUCCGCACUAAGUUCUGCAUCAAUAUGGUAACGUCCCGGGAGCAGGGGAUGACCAGGUUGCCUAAGGAGGGGUGAACCAGCCCAGGUUGGAAAUGGAGCAGGUCAAAACUCCUGUGCUGAUUAGUGAUCGCACCUGUGAAUAGCCACUGUACUCCAGCCCUGCCUCUUAAAAAAAAAA
rnacentral:SRP_RNA from 1 species